GCGCGCGUGGCCAAGCGGUAAGGCGUCGCACUCGUAACUACUUCAGAAAUGCGGAAAUCGCCGGUUCGAAUCCGGUCGUGCGCA